rnacentral:rRNA from 1 species
UGCAGAAUCCCGUGAAUCAUCGAGUCUUUGAAUGCAAGUUGCGCUCGAGGCCAUUAGGUCGAGAGCACGUCUGCUUGGGCGUCAUGC